AGUUGAUUCUGGCUCAGGAUGAACGCUAGCGGCAGGCUUAACACAUGCAAGUCGAGGGGCAGCGGGAUGUAGCAAUACAUUGCCGGCGACCGGCGGAUGGGUGCGUAACGCGUAUGCAACCUACCUUAUACAGGGGAAUAACCUUUCGAAAGGGAGACUAACACCCCAUAGUAUUGAUUUAAGGCAUCUUAGAUUAAUUAAAUAUUUAUAGGUAUAAGAUGGGCAUGCGUAUGAUUAGCUAGUUGGUAAGGUAACGGCUUACCAAGGCGACGAUCAUUAGGGGUUCUGAGAGGAAGGUCCCCCACACUGGUACUGAGACACGGACCAGACUCCUACGGGAGGCAGCAGUGAGGAAUAUUGGUCAAUGGGCGCAAGCCUGAACCAGCCAUGCCGCGUGCAAGGAAGACGGCCUUAUGGGUUGUAAACUGCUUUUACAUAAGACUAACCGUAUAUUUGCGAAUAUACCUGAAUGUAUUAUGAGAAUAAGGAUCGGCUAACUCCGUGCCAGCCGCCGC
rnacentral:rRNA from 1 species